GAUGAACGCUGGCGGCGUGCCUAAUACAUGCAAGUCGAACGGAAAGGCCCUGCUUUUGUUUGGCUCUCGUUUGGCGAACGGGUGAGUAUCACGUGUGUAUCCUGUCCUUGACUUUCGGAGAACAUCUGGAAAAUGCGGCUAAUAUCGGAUAUGAUCUUCUGCAGCACGUUGGUGGUUGGUAAGAUUCGGUGGUUGUGGAUGGACUCGCGGGUUAUGCGCUUCUUGGUGUGGUAGUGGCUUACCAAGGUUUUGACGGGUAGCCGGCCUGAGAGGGUGACCGGCCACAUUGGGACUAAGAGAGGGCCCAGACUCCUACGGGAGGCAGCAGUGGGGAAUAUUGCACAAUGGCCGGGAGCCUGAGACAGAAACGCCGCGUGCGGGAUGACGGCCUUCGGGUUGUAAACCGCUUUCGACUGAGACGAAGCGUGAGUGACGGUAAUGGGUAAAGAAGCACCGGCUAACUACGUG
rnacentral:rRNA from 1 species